rnacentral:rRNA from 1 species
GACGAAGGAUGCAAGCGUUAUCCGGAUUCAUUGGGUUUAAAGGGAGCGUAGGCGGCCUUGUAAGUCAGUGGUGAAAUCUCUCGGCUUAACUGAGAAACUGCCAUUGAUACUGCAGGGCUUGAGUAUAGUUGCCGUUGGCGGAAUAUGACAUGUAGUGGUGAAAUACAUAGAGAUGUCAUAGAACACCGAUUGCGAAGGCAGCUGACGAAACUAAUAACGUGACGC